GUCACGUAGAAGUAAGUGGUGGCCUGUGUGCUUCUCACUCCCUGCCUGCGCAGAGGCGGCCUCCCAUUGUGAGCCAGCCAGAAGCAGAGCAUUCUGCCGCUUUCGUUAUCAGAGAGGAAGAAACUGACAGAUGAGGAAACUCAAGAAGCUAUGAAAGGUGAAGGCAUUUGCUCAGAGUCACACAGCUACUGAGGAGCAAACCAAGGAUUUAACCCUUCAUCCCUUUAGCUUUGAGGAUCUUUCAGCUGCCCAGUGCCCGUGAAGAUGAAUAAAUAUUAACUAUUACUAUUAUCAUUAUCAGAAUCUUCCUCUCCCUGAAGGAAUUAAGAGAAGAAAAAGCAUCCUCAUUCUACCGCUUACUAGCUGUGUAACCAUGGGUAAUGUACUUAAUCUGUCUGUGCCUCAGUUUGUUCACCUAUAAAAUGGGGAUAUAGGACCUACCUCAAAGAGUUGUUGUGAAGAGUCAUGAGUGAAUACAUGCAAAGCAUUUGGCAAAGUGCCUGACACACAGUAGUGUUCAAUAAGUGUUAACUAUUAUUAUUAUCAUUGUUAUUAUUAUAGUUCUCUGAGCACCAGGAUCCAGGCUACCCACUGUGUGAGGCUCUAAGUUGGAGUCGCUGGGAUAUUGGGAAACAAAGAACAAAGAGGGCAGUGCAUGGGCAACCUAAGCUUUUGGCUGGAACUGGGGCUUGCAAGAUUUCUCCUUGAAAAGGAUAAUCUGAUCUCUCAGGCUUGGAGGGGCCAUAGAUACCAACUGCCACCUGCCAGGCCUCUGGGACCCUGCAAGUAAGAUGGGCUCCUUCACACCCAAAGCUGCCUAGGCUAUUUUUAGUGAUGAUAGCAGCUGGCC
rnacentral:lncRNA from 10 species